rnacentral:rRNA from 1 species
AUGCCAAGUUAUACAGGUCUUAUGGUGAUGAAGAUGGAGGUUGAGGAGGACGGUGCCAAUGGAGGAAAUGGUGGAGCAUGGACUGAGGAGGACCGAGACCUCAGCACCACUGUGCUAGGUAGAGAUGCAUUUGCAUACUUGACAAAAGGGGGCGGUACCAUAUCUGAGGGUCUUGUUGCUGCAUCGUCACCUGUGGACUUGCAAAAUAAACUGCAGGAGCUUAUUGAAUCAGAGCAUCCUGGUGCUGGUUGGAACUACGCCAUCUUCUGGCAGCUUUCACGCACAAAGUCUGGUGAUCUUGUCCUUGGGUGGGGUGAUGGCUCUUGCCGUGAACCCAAUGAUGCUGAGUUGGCAGCUGCUGCUUCUGCAGGCAAUGAUGAUGCCAAACAGCGGAUGCGGAAGCGUGUACUGCAGCGGUUGCACAGAGCAUUUGGUGCUGCUGAUGAGGAGGAUUAUGCUCCCACUAUUGGUCAGGUGACAGAUACAGAAAUGUUCUUCCUAGCAUCUAUGUACUUCGCGUUUCCGCGUCGUGCCGGUGCUCCUGGUCAAGUUUUUGCAGCUGGCCUCCCUCUCUGGGUUCCCAAUUCUGAGCGCAAUGUAUUCCCAGCCAAUUACUGUUACCGGGGAUACCUUGCAAGCACAGCAGGAUUUAGAACUAUCCUGUUAGUGCCAUUUGAGACUGGUGUGCUUGAGCUGGGUUCGAUGCAGCAGGUGGCUGAGAGUUCUGACACUCUCCAGACCAUAAAGUCUGUCUUUGCGGGGACAGGUGGCAAUAAGGAUAUAAUUCCGAGUCGUGAAGGAAAUGGUCACAUUGAGAGGUCACCAGGUCUGGCAAAGAUUUUUGGCAAGGAUUUGAACCUUGGUCGGUCUUCAGCAGGGCCAGUGAUUGGGGUAUCGAAAGUAGAUGAAAGGUCAUGGGAACAGAGGACUGCUGGUGGAGGGAGCUCAGUGCUUCCCAAUGUCCAGAAAGGAUUGCAGAGUUUCACUUGGAGUCAGGCCCGGGGCCUGAAUUCUCACCAGCAGAAGUUUGGCAAUGGUAUACUGAUAGUGAGUAAUGAAGCUACACACGGCAACAAUAGAGCCACAGACAGCUCCACUACAACACAGUUUCAGCUACAGAAAGCACCUCAGCUCCAGAAACUACCACUUCUUCAGAAACCACCACAGCUAGUGAAGCCACUGCAGAUGGUCAACCAGCAACAGCUGCAGCCACAGGCGCCUAGGCAAAUAGAUUUUAGUGCAGGGACCAGUUCCAAGUCUGGUGUUCUGGUUACAAGAGCAGCUGUUCUUGAUGGAGAUAGUUCAGAGGUGAAUGGCUUGUGUAAAGAGGAAGGGACAACACCUGUCAUAGAGGACCGACGGCCAAGGAAGAGGGGAAGAAAGCCUGCGAAUGGGAGAGAGGAGCCGCUGAAUCAUGUUGAGGCUGAGCGUCAAAGGAGGGAGAAGCUCAACCAGCGGUUCUAUGCUUUGAGAGCCGUUGUGCCCAACAUCUCGAAAAUGGACAAGGCCUCUCUGUUGGGCGAUGCAAUAGCAUACAUCACUGACCUUCAAAAGAAGCUCAAAGAUAUGGAGACGGAGAGAGAACGAUUUCUUGAGUCUGGUAUGGUUGAUCCUAGGGAGCGAGCCCCUAGACCAGAGGUUGACAUCCAGGUGGUGCAAGACGAGGUUCUGGUUCGAGUUAUGUCUCCAUUGGAGAACCAUCCGGUAAAGAAGGUCUUUGAAGCGUUUGAAGAGGCGGACGUCCGGGUAGGGGAGUCGAAACUCACAGGCAACAAUGGAACGGUAGUGCAUUCCUUCAUCAUCAAGUGCCCUGGCUCCGAACAGCAAACGAGAGAGAAAGUGAUCGCUGCAAUGUCUCGCGCCAUGAGCUCAGUGUAG